UACGUAGGGUGCAAGCGUUAAUCGGAAUUACUGGGCGUAAAGCGUGCGCAGGCGGUUAUGUAAGACAGGUGUGAAAUCCCAGGGCUUAACCUUGGAACUGCAUUUGUGACUGCAUAGCUAGAGUACGGUAGAGGGGGAUGGAAUUCCGCGUGUAGCAGUGAAAUGCGUAGAUAUGCGGAGGAACACCGAUGGCGAAGGCAAUCCCCUGGACCUGUACUGACGCUCAUGCGACGAAAGCGUGGGGAGCAAACGAGG
rnacentral:rRNA from 1 species